rnacentral:misc_RNA from 1 species
CUCGAAGUUGCAACUUUUUUGUGUUAUAUUUUAAGAUUUGUAUUUUGUUCAUGAAAAUAAGAAGAAAAUAGACACUGCUCUCACCUUCUCCCAGAAAGAUGCCAAUCUAAGUCAUUAGCCACCUGAAGGAUGCUAGAGUUCAAACAUAAUUUCUCCUAGAACACAAUGAAACUACAUGCGUUCGUUUCAAUGCAUCAUUUUGACAAAGCAUUCAAUAAUUCAAAACAGGAAUAGAACAUCAGAUUUUAGCCAAAAAUAAAACUUACAAGUCUACUAGAGGUUCAAAUUCAGCUUAUAAAAAAAAUGCAAUGAAGAAGCAACAACAAAACAAAUCUCUGGUACCAACAGAAGAAAAGACUUGCUACUUAAACGAAAAUUGAUGGCUUCUCUUCUUUCAGCACUUCCUUAAAAUAUGUGCAUAUAUAUAGAGCCUUAAGCACGAACCCCUCUGUUGAGACUAACCAUGCGGUUAGAAACAUCUAAUUGAGAUCCCCUCACUGCAGUUCUUCCAGACCCACUAUAUGCAGCAUCUUGAUAUCGUGACCCACCAGGAUAUCCACCAGCACGCGACCCUCUCGAAUAACCACCACCAGCACCUUGGCCUAAUGCCGGUGGUCUCCCACCACCAACAUUAUACCCUGAACGCCCUGAGCCUUGCCUUCCGUGAGUGAAAGAAAAAUUGUCUUGCCACUUGCCACCUGCAGCAGCCAUGGUAGCAUAAUCCUGGCUAUCUUUCCGCCUCAUAGGCAAAUCCAAACCACCACCACCACCAAUCCUGGCCUCUAUUGCCCUUUCAUUACUUUCAGCAAGUACCGACAGCUUCUCUGUUAACUGGAAUGCCAGAACCUGCAAUCUUGUGUGCUCAACAUCAUGGAAGACAAUGCACUGUGUUGGCUGGUCCCAACUUGCAUGGAGCUCCUCAUUGAUCAUCAUUUUGCUAACAAUGCUGUGAGUCUGGGCUCCAGAGAGAUCGAACAUUUUGGUGAGUUGGUCCAAGCUAAGUGACUCAUAAGACGAUGAGUAGGUGAAAAGGUAGGUCCUCAGAGCUUCUUCUUUAAUCUUGGCCUUAAGCAUCUCAAGGACACUGUCUCUGUUCCUAAGAAGCCUCCAGACAUCAAGAGAAUUGAUAACAUCAAAGGCCUUCUGGAAAUCUCCCUUGCUAAGAGCCCGAGUGGCAGCCAUCACAUGAUCCCUGACAUUUUCAGGAGGGCCAGUAAAAGUUUGCCUCUCACUCACCUCAAGCAAUCGCCUAAAUGUCUUGCUAAUGACUUUGCGCUUAGCAUCAUGAGUGUUGGCUGCCAUGUUGGGGACCUCCAGUAGCAUGGCACAGAUGAGAUGGACAGCCUCCAGAAGCUCAAGAUUUAUGUGCAUAUGAUAUGGCAUUUGGCGUCUCCUUUCCAACCUUUCCUGCUCUGGAGUCUUCUCAUGAUACCGAUUUUGUGAAACACCUUGUGCAAGCAACUCCUUUACCCUUCCACCAGAAUACAGUUCAGAAAGGCAGCCAUGUCCUUCAGUGACUAGCCCAACACGGAAUGCACAUAAACCAAGCUGUGCCAUAGCCCUGUUGAAAAGAAUCUGGGUUGAAAUGUCCAUAUGCUGGAUACUAUCCUGCAGGUGACUCAUCAAUAGCAAGUCACGGGCAGUUGAGAACUCAUCCAAUAGAGCAUGGUGGUAGAUAUCACAAAGCAUUGCACGAGCUUUAGUUCGCUCAUCUCCAUACUUGUAUAUGAGUGAGACUAAUAUAUCCAUCAUUGUUCUGCUACUCUCAGGGAAGGUAGGCUUUCGAGGCACAAGCUCAGGAGUGACAACAAAAGCAGAUGGACCCCUACUUUCCUCAACCUUAGGUUCCUCCCCUGACUUUUCACCAUUAUCCCCAUCAUCUGCUUGUUCAGCCAAUUUCCUCAUGGCAUCAUAAACCUCUUGUGGUUUGUAGUAGAUCAGCUCAACCCGCCUAAGGGCAACCUUUGAUGCAGCUUUAAAGUCUCCAACCCUCUCUAGAUACUCUUGGACAUUCUGAGCAAGAACCAAAAACAUAGGUUCAUCCCUCAGUCUCUCAACAUACUCACGCGUAUGUGGAUCAAUGCAUUGCAAACUCUUGAAGAACUCAGCAUCUAUCCGCUCAAGGAAAGCCACCAAGUUCCCCCAAACCCGAAUAGUCCCAUUGUAGUCUGCCCCCUUCUGGGUUUCAUUCUCAUCAGGCUCAACCAUAUCAUCCACUACAAUGUUAGGAUACUGGACCAGAAUAUCAAGAAUAACCAGCAUAUUCUGCAAACAUUUCUUCCAUACAUUUAUAGGCAUAUGACCACUAAGUCCUGGGUUCACAUCAAACUGAGCAGAGACCACGCUAAAAAGAAUCUCAAGCUUCUGUGCAGGGGUCUUAGCAACCUUGGUCAGGAAGGUUAGUUGCUCAACCUGCUCAAACCUUCCAGUUCCCUUCCUACCUCGAGCAGCAACAACCUCCUUAAACUUUUUGUUCACUGUAUCCCAGGUGAUUUCACUAGGAUCUUUCAUAAACUGUCUAUCCAUGAGUUUAUCUCUCUUGCUCAUCAUCUUCUGCCAAUCACCUUCAAUCUCAGUUCUAUUAUCCUGGCGAUCCUCAUCUUCUUCUUCAUCCUCAUCAGACACAGCAAUUUUUGAAGGGUCCUCCACAAACUCCAAAUCCGAAUCUUCCUCUUCUUCUGUCUCCUCAUCUCCCUCUAGUUCCUCCUCACUCUCCGGAUUCUCCCUAUACUUAUUAAUCAAAUCCUCAUACUGCUUAUUGUUCUUCUUCAGUUUUUGUUUCAUCGAGUUCAAGGCCUUAGCAUUACUACUGCUCAUCUUCUUCUUUGCUUCCUUAUUUGCCAAAGCCUGAUUCAAGAAAUCCUCCAACAUCACAAGAGCUUUGAUGUAAAGAUUAGGGACCUUGUCAGAUUCUGUCAACCGCAUGACUUUCUCAAGCUGUUUAUUGAUUUUGUCGAAGCUCUCUUGCAAACUGACCCAAUCAUUGAUCUUCAUUGCAUUCUUCAUUUGAUCAACAGUAGCCGACAUCUCCUCAAAUCGUUUGUCUUUGGCUGACCUGACAACACGCUUUUGAUCAUCCGAGUCAUCGCUGUCACUAGCAGUUCCUCUGAGAUACCUGUUUUGUGGGGCUUGAGUGGUAGACUCGCCUUCUUCCCCAUUAUCAAUAUCUUCUUCAAAUUCACUCUCUUCCUCCUCAGAGUCGCUGCCACCCUGUCCCCAGAAUCGCGAUGCCAUCUUCUAGUAGAAAUUAAAUGCAAGAACCAGAAAAGCGCAAGAAUCUGAGAUUGACAAAGGCAGUACCGCAAGAGAAGGGCGCGAGCUCGACGACGGCGAUCUGAAAGGGAUGGAAGGCUGCGGGUAAAGGUGCUGUCUUUGCUGGGAAAACGGCAGGCCUUGUCGUCGUCGGUGAAAGCAGCAACAGAGGGAUAGAGAGAGCGAUGUAGUGAAGUAAAGGAGAGAGGCAAGGGAAGGAGAGAUUCUAGAGAAUG